UGGGGAAUAUUGCACAAUGGGGGAAACCCUGAUGCAGCAACGCCGCGUGAGUGAUGACGGCCUUCGGGUUGUAAAGCUCUGUCUUCAGGGACGAUAAUGACGGUACCUGAGGAGGAAGCCACGGCUAACUACGUGCCAGCAGCCGCGGUAAUACGUAGGUGGCAAGCGUUGUCCGGAUUUACUGGGCGUAAAGGGAGCGUAGGCGGACGUUUAAGUGAGAUGUGAAAUACCCGGGCUCAACCUGGGUGCUGCAUUUCAAACUGGAAGUCUAGAGUGCAGGAGAGGAGAGUGGAAUUCCUAGUGUAGCGGUGAAAUGCGUAGAGAUUAGGAAGAACACCAGUGGCGAAGGCGACUCUCUGGACUGUAACUGACGCUGAGGCUCGAAAGCGUGGGGAGCAAACA
rnacentral:rRNA from 1 species